rnacentral:rRNA from 1 species
UACAGAGGUCUCAAGCGUUGUUCGGAUUCAUUGGGCGUAAAGGGUGCGUAGGCGGCGCGGUAAGUCGGGUGUGAAAUCUCGGAGCUUAACUCCGAAACUGCAUUCGAUACUGCCGUGCUUGAGGACUGGAGAGGAGACUGGAAUUUACGGUGUAGCGGUGAAAUGCGCAGAUAUCAGGAGGAACACCAGUGGCGAAGGCGGCACUCUGGGCCGGUACUGACGCUGAGGAGCGAAAGCGUGGGGAGCGAACAGG